UUUAUUCUUGGUUGUCUUUGCUUUCUAGUCUGGGAAGUUUCUAUUGAUGUAUAUCCUCAAGUUCAUUGGCUUUUUUCUUGGCAUGUCCAGGCCACUGAUGAGCCCAUCAAAGGCAUUCUUCAUUUCCAGUACAGUGUUUUUGAUUCCAGCAUUUCCUUUUGAUUCUUUCUUAGUUUCCAUCUCUCUGCUUACAUUACCCAUCUGUUCUUGCAUGUUAUCCACUUUUUCUACUACAGCCCUUAGCAUAUGAACCAUAGUUAUUUUAAAUUCUUGGUCUGAUAAUUCCAAAAACUCUGCCAUAUCUGAGUCUGGUUCUGAUGCUUGCUCUUCAAGCUGUGUUUUUUCCUUUUAGCAUGCUUUGUAAUUUACUUGAAAGCUAGACACGAUGUACUUGAUAAGAAGAUCUGAGGUAAAUAUGCCUUUUGUGUGAGGUUUUAUGUUUAUCUGGCCAGGGGUUAAGCUGUGUUUACUCUUUGCUGUAGCUGUAGGUGUGUUAGAGGCUAAAAGACCAGUACCUGGUCUUUCUCCUCUGUUGUCUCUGGGUUUUCCUAAGGACUUGUUCAAUACGAUCUGAGGCUUGUAGUUCUUUCAAUGUAAUCUGUUACAGGAACCUUGUACAGGAACCUUGCCGCUAUGGUGAGGAGGUGUGGAGGGAGGGGGAAUGUUCUUAGACCUAGUCUAUUGGACCUCUGUUCUUAAUAAGCCUGUGCCCUAGGCUAUGACCUUCACAAAGAGUUUCUCAGGCAACCACCACACUCCCCUGCCCUAAGUUAAGACAGGAGAGCUUUGGGGGGCUGGAAUUGGGUAUUUGCCAUGCCUCAGGUCUGUUAGAUUCUGGUAAGUCCCAAGAUGGUUAGGCUCUAGCAAAAUCGUGUCCCUUGAGGGCAGGCUUUUGUUAAGAACAGAAUGCUCUGGGCAUAUUUUAAAAUGGCUACUUCUCUCCUCCCCUGUGGAAGACAGAAGGGAGUUUUUCCUCUGAUUUUCACUCUGAAAACCUGGUAGUGUUCCCACCUCCUUGACGUAGAUUCACAAAAGACAGGACUCCUCUUAAUUUCUAAUUCCCAAGUUGGUCCACCUCUUGGUGGACCUCCAGCAAUUUUUCAAUUAAAGUUUUAAGUUUUUCUCUCCCAGUACUGGCUCCACUGGUAGGUUUUUUCCCUACUAAGCAAAGAGUUUCAAUAGUUACCUGUCUCUCCAAUUUGGAGAUAGCAGUUUGCCCUGGACUUCACUUCUCUGAUGAAUCUAAGAAAAAUUGCUGAUUUUUCAAUUUGUUCAGUUUUUAUCCUGUUGUAAGGACCAGAGUGACAAUUCUAGCUGCAAACCAGAAGUCUCUUUUAGUUUCUUUUUUGUUUGUUUUUCCUAUUGCAAAGAAUGAUGCUAUACACAUUCUUAUAUGUGUUAUUUGAUGUACAUGUGCGUGCAUUUUUGUUACCCCAGGAGUGAAAUACCUGGGACUCAAGAUAUGCUAAUUUUUAGGUCUAUUAUACAAUGUACUCCCUCUGGCUAUAAAUAAGACUUACUGGUCCAUAUCCUUACCAACACUUGGUUUGUUAGUCUUUCUAAUUUUAGCUAUUCUGGAGGAUGUGUGUAAAAUAUCAUUGUGAUUUUACUUGAAUUUAUAUAAUUAUUAAGGAAGUUGAAGACCAUUUGGAUAUCUUCUUUUGUAAAUUAUGUAUUUAGGUCUUCAACCCAGUUUUAUAUUAAACUUUGUCUUUUACUGAUUGAUUUAUAAGAGUUCAUUUUCUAUGUGCACAUGAGCCCAUUGUUAGUUACACAUAUCUACUCCCACGCUGUGAAUCACUCCUUCAUUAUCUUAAUGAUAUCUUUUAAUAAACAGAAAUUCUGAAUUUGAA